AUGAAUCACAAGUCGGCCGUUCUGUGCUGGUGGCAACACAUGUGCACGUCGGUCGCAAAUCCACACACCUGUGCACCUUUGACUUUGGGAUCCGCCGGUCUUUUGACUCGCAGCAGGUCGGCUUCGCGCCGUCCUGGGUCUCAGAGUACUUUUACACACUCUGAAUGUAAUGGAAUGUCUCUGUGCUUAACGCGCAUUAUAAA
rnacentral:misc_RNA from 1 species